GUGAAUCAUCGAAUCUUUGAACGCACAUUGCACUCUCUGGUAUUCCGGAGAGUAUGCCUGUUUGAGGGUCAGUUUAAAUGAAAAUCGGUGUGGUUGCUGCCUUUCGUGGUGACGCACCGGAUUUUGGUCGUCUUGACUUCGGUUGAGUGACCUAAAAUUUUGCUUGGUUUUUUCGAACGUAUUUAAAUGGUUUUACGUACGUUUGCGAUAUAGAAUAAUAGGUGUGGUCAUUCUCAUGAUUCGCGCCUAUAAUUAUUCAUCAAACUGACCUCAAAUCAGGUAAGAGUACCCGCUUAACUUA
rnacentral:misc_RNA from 1 species